UACGGAGGAUGCAAGCGUUAUCCGGAAUCAUUGGGCGUAAAGCGUCCGUAGGUGGCAAUGUAAGUCUGCUGUCAAAGCGUCUGGCUCAACCAGAUAAAGGCAGUGGAAACUACAUAGCUAGAGUAAGGUAGGGGUAGAGGGAAUUCCUGGUGUAGCGGUGAAAUGCGUAGAGAUCAGGAAGAACACCGGUGGCGAAAGCGCUCUGCUGGACCUUAACUGACACUGAGGGACGAAAGCUAGGGGAGCGAAUGGG
rnacentral:rRNA from 1 species